rnacentral:rRNA from 1 species
GAUGAACGCUGGCGGCGUGCCUAAUACAUGCCAGUCGAGCGAACGGACGAGAAGCUUGCUUCUCUGAUGUUAGCGGCGGACGGGUGAGUAACACGUGGAUAACCUACCUAUAAGACUGGGAUAACUUCGGGAAACCGGAGCUAAUACCGGAUGAUAUUUUGAACCGCAUGGUUCAAAAGUGAAAGACGGUCUUGCUGUCACUUAUAGAUGGAUCCGCGCUGCAUUAGCUAGUUGGUAAGGUAACGGCUUACCAAGGCAACAAUGCAUAGCCGACCUGAGAGGGUGAUCGGCCACACUGGAACUGAGACACGGUCCAGACUCCUACGGGAGGCAGCAGUAGGGAAUCUUCCGCAAUGGGCGAAAGCCUGACGGAGCAACGCCGCGUGAGUGAUGAAGGUCUUCGGAUCGUAAAACUCUGUUAUUAGGGAAGAACAUAUGUGUAAGUAACUGUGCACAUCUUGACGGUACCUAAUCAGAAAGCCACGGCUAACUACGUG